UCGGCGGAUGAGUUGUGGUUAGGGGUGAAAUGCCAAUCGAACUCGGAGCUAGCUGGAUCUCCCCGAAAUGCGUUGAGGCGCAGCGGUUAACGAUGGGCUGCCUAGGGGUAAAGCACUGUUUCGGUGCGGGCUGCGAGAGCGGUACCAAAUCGUAGCAAACUAAGAAUACUAGGCAUUGCUUUCCGUUAACCAGUGAGACGGUGGGGGAUAAGCUCCAUCGUCGAGAGGGAAACAGCCCAGAUCACCAGCUAAGGCCCCAAAAUGACCGCUAAGUGGCAAAGGAGGUGAGAAUGCUGAAACAACCAGGAGGUUUGCUUAGAAGCAGCCACCCUUUAAAGAGUGCGUAAUAGCUCACUGGUGGAGCGUUCUUGCGCCGAAAAUGAACGGGACUAAGCGGUCUGCCGAAGCUGUGGGUAAUGUCAAAAUUUGAUAUUACGGUAGGGGAGCGUUCCGCUCUAGGGUGAAGCUCCAACGUAAGUUGGUGUGGACAAAGCGGAAGUGAGAAUGUCGGCUUGAGUAACGAAAACAUUGGUGAGAAUCCAAUGCCCCGAAAACCUAAGGCUUCCUCCACUAGGCUCGUCCAUGGGGGGUUAGUCGGGACCUAAGGCCAGGCCGAGAGGCGUAGUCGAUGGAAAACAGGUUAAUAUUCCUGUACUAAUUUUUGAGUGGUACCGAGGGACGGAGGAGGGAACAAUUGGUCAAUAUUGGAUGUUGGCGGAAACGUUUGACAAAAACUUCGUUUUUGUUACAAGGUGAUGAGAGAUAGAAUAAAAACUAUUCUUGAGCUGAGGCGUGAUACGGUUUUAUUCCCUGUAUGAGAGCUUUGCUCAAAUUCAAAAAGAAACUCAAUUAGUUGUCAAACUUCCUAGAAAAGCUCGAACUUCCAAUACUUAAAAAUUACCCGUACCCGAAACCGACACAGGUAGGUAGGUAGAGUAUACCAAGGGGCGCGAGAUAACUCUCUCUAAGGAACUCGGCAAAAUGGCCCCGUAACUUCGGGAGAAGGGGUGCCCUCAAUUAAGAGGGCCGCAGUGACCAGGCCCAGGCGACUGUUUACCAAAAACACAGGUCUCCGCUAAGUCGUAAGACAAUAUAUGGGGGCUGACGCCUGCCCAGUGCCGGAAGGUGAAGGAAGUUGGUUACUUAGACUUUAGUCUGGGAAAGCUGACAACCGAAGCCCCGGUGAACGGCGGCCGUAACUAACGGUCCUAAGGUAGCGAAAUUCCUUGUCAGGUAAGUUCUGACCCGCACGAAAGGUGUAACGAUCUGGGCACUGUCUCGGAGAGAGGCUCGGUGAAAUAGACAUGUCCGUGAAGAUGCGGACUACCUACACCUGGACAGAAAGACCCUAUGAAGCUUUACUGUAGCCUGGAAUUGAAUUUGGGCUUUUCUUGCGCAGUCUAGGUGGGAGGCGUUGAUAGUUCCCUUCCGGGGGAGCUGGAGCCAUCAGUGAGAGACCACUCUGGAGAAGCUAGAAUUCUAAUGGCGAUCCUUGAAUCAGGACGCUUGACAGUUUCAGGUGGGCAGUUUGACUGGGGCGGUCGUCUCCUAAAAGGUAACGGAGAUGUGCAAAGGUUCCCUCAGGCUGGACGGAAAUCAGCCGAAGAGUGUAAAGGCAUAAGGGAGCUUGACUGCAAGACCUACAAGUCGAGCAGGGGCGAAAGCCGGCCUUAGUGAUCCGACGGUACCGAGUGGAAGGGCCGUCGCUCAACGGAUAAAAGUUACUCUAGGGAUAACAGGCUGAUCUUCCCCAAGAGUUCACAUCGACGGGAAGGUUUGGCACCUCGACGAUGUCGGCUCAUCGCAACCUGGGGCGGUAGUACGUCCCAAGGGUUGGGCUGUUCGCCCAUGAAAGCGGUACGUGAGCUGGGUUCAGAACGUCGU
rnacentral:rRNA from 1 species